rnacentral:rRNA from 1 species
UACGAAGGGGGCUAGCGUUGCUCGGAAUUACUGGGCGUAAAGGGAGCGUAGGCGGAUAGUUUAGUCAGAGGUGAAAGCCCAGGGCUCAACCUUGGAAUUGCCUUUGAUACUGGCUAUCUUGAGUAUGGGAGAGGUAUGUGGAACUCCGAGUGUAGAGGUGAAAUUCGUAGAUAUUCGGAAGAACACCAGUGGCGAAGGCGACAUACUGGCCCAUUACUGACGCUGAGGCUCGAAAGCGUGGGGAGCAAACGGG